CCUACGGGAGGCUGCAGUGGGGAAUAUUGCACAAUGGGGGAAACUCUGAUGCAGCAACGCCGCGUGAGUGAUGACGGCCUUCUGGUUGUAAAGCUCUGUCUUCAGGGACGUUAAUCUCGGUACCUGAGUACGACUCCACGGCUAACUCCGUUCCAGCUGCAGCGGUACUACGUAGGCGGCGGGCGUUGUCCGGAUUUACUGGGCGUAAAGGGUGCGUAGGCGGACUUUUAAGUGAGAUGUGAAAUGCUCGGGCUCAACUUGGGAACUGCAUUUCAAACUGGAAGUCUAGAGUGCAGGAGAGGAGAAUGGAAUGCAUAGUGUAGCGGUGAAAUGCGUAGAGAUUAGGAAGAACACCAGUGGCGAAGGCGAUUCACUGGACUGUAACUGACGCUGAGGCUCGAAAGCGUGGGGAGCAAACAGGAUUAGAUACCCCUGUAGUC
rnacentral:rRNA from 1 species